CGGCGAGCUCGGCUCGGCUCCGGUGCGGCCCGCACCUCCAUCCUCCCUCCUCCCAGUCCCAGGCCGUGAACGAGCCGGCCGCCGCACCCGCGAUCUGGGACCUACUCCCAGUCCCAGGCAUCCUCCUUCGAUGCGUCCGGUGGAAGAUGGUGCCACCGAUUCGGAUCUUGCUGACCCUGCCCAUCUGCACUGCGCUCCGAGAGAAGUGACCAAUAUUCAGAUCAUAAAGAUAUUCAAUGGUGAUGAAGUACGCUAUAUAAAUGAGUUGCCUGAAUGAAGAAUCAUAUGGCUCUGAUGGUGAAGCUUCCGAUGGGAAUGCGGUCUUGGCUGUGGCGAGCAAGAACAGCAUGGUGAGAACCUAUUGCUGGUCCUCAAUCAAGGUGUGGCUCUCUGCCAGCUGCCAUGCUGUUGUUGCUUCUCUCUACUUGCCGACACAACCAAGGUGAGUUUGGAAAAUACAGAAUGUAUUUCAAGGUAGCAAAAGAAGGAACCGAAAUACAGUUACCAUGUAGUAUUUCAAUAUCACUGCAUCAGCCAUUCUAUUCUCAAUCAAUCUGAACUUCAGCAUUACUUGUAUGGGAUCCUGCUGAUUAUUGUGUGACCAGAGCUUACAGUCGUAUGAACAGAGCUAUAUGUUGAUUUCAGGCUUGCUUCAUCAAACUGAAAGAUACUGCGUGAGAUACUGACAUUUAUUUGUGCUGUUGUUGAUACCGACAACAAAAUUCAUACCAAGCAAAAAAUAACUAAAAAUAUUUGGAUUGCAUUUCGUAGGAAUUUUCUGGUGGAUAUCACCCUAAACUUUGUGAUUCAGAAUAAUCCCAUGUGCUGUUGCUGAGUAUAUCAAGUGGGACCUAGGUCCAGGGCUCAAUCUCAGUGAGGCAUUUAGAGCGUUCUUCUGGAGCGCAUGUCUUGGGUUGGCAUUUAGCAAAAAGCUGGAAGCUUUGCUUUCUUUAAGCCUAGAUUUACUUAGCAUAUACUAUGUAUCUUUACUCAAUGUGUAUGAGCCUGUGUUUUUUUGUUGCUUGUUUUUGUCACUAGAACUGGAAUCUCAACGUGUCACUCUUAUAUUCUUGCUGAAUUCUGUUGCAUCUCAUGGAACAAGCAAGUCUUGAUGGACCUUGGCGUCAUGUUUAUUGAAACCAGUGCUAAAGCUGGAUGUAACAUUAAGAUAUGCUUCAGAAUAUAAACUGCUUACAUGUCUCCUUUCAGAGUAGUGUGUUUUUGUUUAGGUAGGCUUUUAUUUUUCUGCCAGUCACUGACCAUCACAAACUUGUGAACAUGUGCUGUUCUGUAAAAUUGCUGCUGCACUUCUGGAAUGGAGACACUCUCAUCAGCGAAGUAGGAAGGCAUGGUUGAUGUGAACUUGAGAUUUGGAAUUUGCAAACAACGGAAGAAAUAUGUUCACAAAGUGGUUUCUCUGAAUUUUUGUUGAAUUUGCGGAAACAUGUUGAUUUUACUAGCUGCCUGUGGAAUGUAGAGUACUCCAAGUGCCAUGGUAAGUUGGUGAGGCACAAGGUAGAGAAGAAAUAUGUGCUCAAGAAGAGACGAGUUGAGCAACCAACGGACCGAACUCGCAGAUGCAGCUUAUUGCGACAGUUAGGAAUCCAUUUAUCGUGGAGUACAAAGAUUCGUGGGUGAAAAAGGUAGCCAGAGGGUCAAAACAAAGUUAUUAAAUGAGGCUUCUGGUGCAGAAAAUUCUGAUGAAACAUUUGAAAGUUUUGCUUUUGCAUUAGUCAAUGGUGCUCUUGGUGUGUUUGAAGUUCAUGGGCGCCGGAUACGAGAUUUUAGAUCCAACCCAGGCUUCAACGCAGCGGCAAGGCUUCAACGCACGCGUGCUGUACCCAAGCUCCCAAUCCCCCUCGCCCCGGCCACACCGCCGUCCUCCGCGUCAGGCCACGCGUCCGCCGCGCCCCAGCCACGCCCACGCCGCGCCUCAGCUCCUCCGCGGCCUGCGUCCAGGGCGCCCGGCCUGCCGCGCGGCGCGGCCGGCCUGGGCGGUCAGGGGUGGGCCAAGCGGGCCCGCGUCCAGGGCCGCCGUGAGGCUCAGCCGUGGGCGUCCGGCGUGGGCGGGAGCCGUGCGCAUCGCUCUGCGUGCGGCGCCCGGCGCCGCCGUAGUAAGCUGCCGCCGUGGGCCGAGCCGUGCGCCUGGCCGUCCUCCUCGCCCACGGCGGAGCUCACGGUGGAGCUCGCCGGAGUACCCCUCACCGAAGUACCCCUGCGAUGCCUUUUCCGCGCGGAAUCUGCUACCUCUGCCGCCGCAAAACAGAUCUUGGGGUGCACUGCCUGGGAUCGUGAUGUGGAUAGUGGAUGCAACGCCGACUACCUGAGCUCCAAUCUGGUGGUGGGAUGGUUCCAAGUGAUUAAUGGCCUGCAUCAGCAAUGGUCAUUCACGUAGUCGCUGGCGCAGAACUGUGAUAAGGUGCCAUCGAGUACAGAUCAGAGGAUGAUGUGCUUCAUCAUCGAGUACCAAACACUAGGGAUCUUUUUAUUUAUGCUUGAUUCAUCGAGUACCAAACACUAGGGAUCAUCUCACUAGAUCAAUUCCUACUAUUAGAAAAGAAGAAGAAUGAUACUACUCCAAAAUAACUUCAGAGAUCAAUAAUUAUCAUCUAUCUCCGCAAACAACGCCAGCCGCCGGCAAUGUCUCUGGCGGCGGCAUCCACAUCCACCUUUGCGGCGCUGCACCUCCAUCUUCAUCAAAUUGUGGAACAAGAAAAAAGUACAAAAGAAUGCCAUAUCAAAGCAACCGGUGACUUUAGCAUAUGCUUCAGAUAUGUAGUCCUCCAUGAAAGCUGAACUGAUGAUAAAGGAUGAUAUGCUGCUGGUGAAUGGGUGACCUAUAAAAAGUUGAAUUAAUCCGUUGAUACCUCUGGACUCUGGUGGUGAUACAUUACUGUACUUGCAUCGCUUCAUUUAAGACAUAGCCACCUGGGGAUGCCUUCCUUGAUGAUAAGACUCGGAGAAGCUCUGGAUAGGGUCACUGUCGAGUGUUUUGGUAAGCAAGUGACAAAAUUUAAUCGGAAAAAUGUAUUGUAGUUCUUUUUUGGUGUCCGUCUUUGAUAGGUUUUUUGGUUGGUCAUUUACUGGCUCAUUAUUAGAGUUCAGGUUUUGUUGAUAUCACUACGAUUAUGCUGUUCUUGGAAGUUUAUUUGGGCAUUACAAUAACAUGUCUUUUGGUUUGGAUUGAUCGGUA